GCGCCUGUAGCUCAGUUGGUAGAGCAGGGGCCUUUUAAGCCUCGGGUCCUGGGUUCGAGCCCCAGUGGGCGCACCG
rnacentral:tRNA from 1 species